rnacentral:rRNA from 1 species
UACGGGGGGGGGCAAGCGUUGUUCGGAAUUAUUGGGCGUAAAGGGUGCGCAGGCGGUCGGGUGUGUCAGAUGUGAAAUCCCGAGGCUCAACCUCGGAACUGCGUCUGAAACUACUCGACUAGAGUACUGGAGAGGGAAACGGAAUUCACGGUGUAGCAGUGAAAUGCGUAGAUAUCGUGAGGAACACCAGAGGCGAAGGCGGUUUCCUGGACAGUUACUGACGCUCAGGCACGAAAGCAUGGGGAGCAAAAGGG